AGUGAACGCUGGCGGUAGGCCUAACACAUGCAAGUCGAACGGCAGCACAGUAAGAGCUUGCUCUUACGGGUGGCGAGUGGCGGACGGGUGAGGAAUACAUCGGAAUCUACUUUUUCGUGGGGGAUAACGUAGGGAAACUUACGCUAAUACCGCAUACGACCUACGGGUGAAAGCAGGGGAUCUUCGGACCUUGCGCGAUUGAAUGAGCCGAUGUCGGAUUAGCUAGUUGGCGGGGUAAAGGCCCACCAAGGCGACGAUCCGUAGCUAGUCUGAGAGGAUGAUCAGCCACACUAGAACUGAGACACGGUCCAGACUCCUACGGGAGGCAGCAGUGAGGAAUAUUGGACAAUGGGCGCAAGCCUGAUCCAGCCAUACCGCGUGGGUGAAGAAGGCCUUCGGGUUGUAAAGCCCUUUUGUUGGGAAAGAAAAGCAGCAGGUUAAUACCCCGCUGUUCUGACGGUACCCAAAGAAUAAGCACCGGCUAACUUCGUG
rnacentral:rRNA from 1 species